GACGAACGCUGGCGGCGUGCUUAACACAUGCAAGUCGAACGAAGUGGCGAACGGGUGAGUAAUACGUGGGUAACCUGCCCUCCUUUUUGGGAUAAGCCUUGGAAACGGGGUCUAAUACCGAAUAGAGGGGGAUGUGCUCGCGGCCGAUCAGCUUGUUGGUGGGGUGAUUGCCUACCAAGGCGGUGACGGGUAGCCGGCCUGAGAGGGUGACCGGCCACAUGGGGACGGAGCUACGGCCCAGACGUCUACGCGAGGCAGCAGUGGGGGAUAUUGCACAAUGGGCGAUAUACUGAUGCAGCGACGCCGCGUGGGGGAUGAAGGCUUUCGGGUUGUAAACCUCUGUCGCUAUCGAACGGGUACGUGGAGAAGAAGCGCCGGCUAACUACGUGCCAGCAGCCGCGGUAAUUC
rnacentral:rRNA from 1 species